GCGGGCGUGAUCUUGAAAGAGUUCCCAAGCUGACAGCGCGGGUUCGAUUCCCGUCACCCGCUCCA
rnacentral:tRNA from 1 species